rnacentral:rRNA from 1 species
GCGUGAAGUAGACCGCCUGGGAGUACGGUCGCAAGAUUAAAACUACAAAGGAAUUGACGGGGGCCCGGCACAAGCGGUGGAUUAUGUGGAUUAAUUCGAUGCAACGCGAAAACCUUACCUGGCCUUGACAUGCCACUAACGAAGCAGAGAUGCAUUAGGUGCCCGAAAGGGAAAGUGGACACAGGUGCUGCAUGGCUGUCGUCAGCUCGUGUCGUGAGAUGUUGGGGUUAAGUCCCCGCAACGAGCGCAACCCUUGCCGAUAGUUGCUACAUUCAGUUGAGCACUCUAUUGGGACUGCCGGUGACAAACCGGAGGAAGGUGGGGAUGACGUCAAGUCCUCAUGGCCCUUAUGGCCAGGGCUUCACACGUAAUACAAUGGUCGGUACAGAGGGUUGCCAACCCGCGAGGGGGAGCUAAUCUCAGAAAGCCGAUCGUAGUCCGGAUUGCACUCUGCAACUCGAGUGCAUGAAGUCGGAAUCGCUAGUAAUCGCGGAUCAGCAUGCCGC